rnacentral:rRNA from 1 species
GGCUCAGGACGAACGCUGGCGGCGUGCCUAAUACAUGCAAGUCGAGCGAAUCRAUGGGAGCUUGCUCCCUGAGAUUAGCGGCGGACGGGUGAGUAACACGUGGGCAACCUGCCUAUAAGACUGGGAUAACUUCGGGAAACCGGAGCUAAUACCGGAUAUGUUCUUUUCUCGCAUGAGAGAAGAUGGAAAGACGGUUUCGGCUGUCACUUAUAGAUGGGCCCGCGGCGCAUUAGCUAGUUGGUGAGGUAAUGGCUCACCAAGGCGACGAUGCGUAGCCGACCUGAGAGGGUGAUCGGCCACACUGGGACUGAGACACGGCCCAGACUCCUACGGGAGGCAGCAGUAGGGAAUCUUCCGCAAUGGACGAAAGUCUGACGGAGCAACGCCGCGUGAACGAAGAAGGCCUUCGGGUCGUAAAGUUCUGUUGUUAGGGAAGAACAAGUACCAGAGUAACUGCUGGUACCUGAC